UGAGUACGAGAUGCUACGGCAUCGAAGCAGUCUAUGUCAUACUUCCAAGAAAAGCUUGCACUGUCAGAAACAGAUAAUGCCUGUACCAUAACCGACACAGGUGGGUAGGUAGAGUAUACUAAGGGGCGCGAGAUAACUCUCUCUAAGGAACUCGGCAAAAUGACUCCGUAACUCCGGGAGAAGGAGUGCCUUAUUUUUAAGGUUGCAAUAACAAGAUCCAAGCAACUGUUUACCAAAAACACAGGUCUCCGCUAAGUCGUAAGACGAUGUAUGGGGGCUGACGCCUGCCCAGUGCCAGAAGGUUAAAGAAGUCGGUUAGCAUUCGCGAAGCUGGUAACUGAAGCCCUGGUGAACGGCGGCCGUAACAAUAACGGUCCUAAGGUAGCGAAAUUCCUUGUCGGGAAAGUUCCGACCCGCACGAAAGGCGUAAUGAUUUGGAUACUGUCUCGGAGAGGGGCUCGGUGAAAUAGACUUGUCUGUGAAGAUGUGGACUACCUGCACCUGGACAGAAAGACCCUAUGAAGCUUUACUGUAACUUGAAAUUGAAAUUGGACUUUAUUUGCGCAGUAUAGGUGGGAGGCGUUGAAAAUAUUCUUGCGGGAAUAUUGGAGCCAUCAGUGAGAUACCACUCUUGUAAUGUUAGAUUUCUAACUUUAUAUCAUUAUCUGGUUAAAGAACAGUUUCAGGCGGGCAGUUUGACUGGGGCGGUCGCCUCCCAAAUGGUAACGGAGGCGCACAAAGGUUUCCUCUGAACGGGUAGAAAUCGUAUCUAGAGUGUAAAGGCAUAAGGAAGCUUGACUGUGAGACCUACAAGUCGAGCAGGGACGAAAGUCGGUCUUAGUGAUCUGACGGUGCUGAGUGGAAAGGCCGUCACUCAACGGAUAAAAGUUACUCUAAGGAUAACAGGCUGAUCUCCCCCAAGAGUUCACAUCGACGGGGAGGUUUGGCACCUCGAUGUCGGCUCAUCGCAUCCUGGGGCGGUAGUACGUCCCAAGGGUUGGGCUGUUCGCCCAUGAAAGCGGUACGCGAGCUGGGUUCAGAACGUCGUGAGACAGUUCGGUCCAUAUCCGGUGUAGGCGUUAGAAUAUUGAGAGGAGCCUUCUUUAGUACGAGAGGACCGAGAAGGACAUACCUCUGGUGUACCAGUUAUCGUGCCAACGGUAAACGCUGGGUAGCUAUGUAUGGAGUGGAUAACCGCUGAAAGCAUCUAAGUGGGAAGCCCACCUCAAGAUAAGUAUUCUCAUG
rnacentral:rRNA from 1 species